GUCGAGAAUCUUCGUCAAUGGGCGAAAGCCUGAACGAGCGACGCCGCGUGCGGGAUGAAGGCCUUUGGGUUGUAAACCGCUGUCGAGGGGGAUGAAGGCAUUCAGGUUCUCCUGAAUGUUUGACAGAGCCCUGGAGGAAGCACGGGCUAAGUUCGUGCCAGCAGCCGCGGUAAUACGAACUGUGCGAACGUUAUUCGGAAUCACUGGGCUUACAGGGUGCGUAGGCGGCUUUUCAAGUCAGGUGUGAAAGCCCCCGGCUCAACCGGGGAAUUGCGCUUGAAACUGUCAGGCUCGAGUCAGCUAGAGGUGCACGGAACUUCCAGUGGAGCGGUGAAAUGUGUUGAUAUUGGAAGGAACACCAGAGGCGUAAGCGGUGCACUGGGGCUGGUCUGACGCUGAGGCACGAAAGCCAGGGUAGCGAA
rnacentral:rRNA from 1 species